AUGGCGCAAUAUAAUACCAAAUUGUGUGAUUUCUCGAAUACCAAUAACAAUGAUUUCCUUAGUACUCCGAUUUCUCCUCUUAAUGAUGUUGAGUCUUGUGAAAUCAAUAGUUCUUUGCUGAAUCUUGUUAUGAAAGAUCAAUUCGCCGGCCUUCCUAGUGAAGAUGCCGCUACUCAUCUAAACAACUUUGUCGAUUUGUGUGAUAUGAAAAAGAAGAAAGAUAUGGAUAACAAUAUUUUCAAAUUGAAGUUAUUUCCAUUUUCACUUAGAGAUCAUGCUAAAGUUUGGUUUUCGUCUUUGCCUAAAAAUAGUAUUGAUUCUUGGAACAAGUGCAAAGAUGCUUUUAUCUCUAAGUAUUUUCCUCCCACUAAGAUUAUCACUCUUAGGAACGAUAUUAUGAAUUUUAAACAACUUGAUCAUGAGCAUGUUUCCCAAUCUUGCGAAAGAAUGAAAUUGAUGCUUCGCAAUUGCCCUACUCAUGGUUUGAAUUAA
rnacentral:rRNA from 1 species